rnacentral:rRNA from 1 species
ACGAACGCUGGCGGCGUGCCUAAUACAUGCCAGUUGCGCGAUGAAGAUUGGUGCUUGCACCAAUUUGAAGAGCAGCGAACGGGUGAGUAACGCGUGGGGAAUCUGCCUUUGAGCGGGGGACAACAUUUGGAAACGAAUGCUAAUACCGCAUAACAACUUUAAACAUAAGUUUUAAGUUUGAAAGAUGCAAUUGCAUCACUCAAAGAUGAUCCCGCGUUGUAUUAGCUAGUUGGUGAGGUAAAGGCUCACCAAGGCGAUGAUACAUAGCCGACCUGAGAGGGUGAUCGGCCACAUUGGGACUGAGACACGGCCCAAACUCCUACGGGAGGCAGCAGUAGGGAAUCUUCGCAAUGGACGAAAGUCUGACCGAGCAACGCCGCGGGAGUGAAGAAGGUUUUCGGAUCGUAAAACUCUGUUGGUAGAGAAGAACGUUGGUGAGAGUGGAAAACUCAUCAAGUGACGGUAACUACCCAGAAAGGGACGGCUAACUACGUG